rnacentral:snRNA from 1 species
GUGCUCGCCUCAGCAGCACAUAUACCAAAAUUGGAAUGAUACAAAGAUUAUCAUGGUCCCUGUGCAAAGAUAACAGGCACAUUCGUGAAGCAUUCAUUAAAACA